GCCAGCGUGGUGCAAUGGUUUGAGCACUGGAUUACAACCCUGGAGAUCAGGGUUCAAAUCCCCGCUCAGUCA